rnacentral:rRNA from 1 species
GACGAACGCUGGCGGCGUGCUUAACACAUGCAAGUUGAACGAGAAUUUUUCGAGUGAUUUCUUCGGAAUGAUCAUGAAAAAGGAAAGUAGCGAACGGGUGGGUAACACGUGAGAAACCUGCCUUUCACAAAGGGAUAGCCUCGGGAAACCGGGAUUAAUACCUUAUGAAACCAAACACUCGCAUGAGAGAUUGGUUAAAGAUUUAUCGGUGUUAGAUGGUCUCGCGUCUGAUUAGCUAGUUGGUGGGAUAAAAGCCUACCAAGGCAACGAUCAGUAGCCGGAUUGAGAGGUUGAACGGCCACACUGGAACUGAGACACGGUCCAGACUCCUACGGGAGGCAGCAGUGGGGAAUUUUGCACAAUGGAGGAAACUCUGAUGCAGCGACGCCGCGUGAGUGAUGAAGGUCUUCGGAUUGUAAAACUCUGUCCUUAGUGAAGAUAAUGACAGUAACUAAGAAGCAAGCCCUGGCUAAAUACGUG